UCUGGACCCGAUGCCUAUAAUCAACUCGUG
rnacentral:piRNA from 1 species